rnacentral:rRNA from 1 species
GAUGAUGCCAGCUUGCUGGUGGAUUAGUGGCGAACGGGUGAGUAACACGUGAGUAACCUGCCCUUAACUCUGGGAUAAGCCUGGGAAACUGGGUCUAAUACCGGAUAUGACUCCUCAUCGCAUGGUGGGGGGUGGAAAGCUUUUUGUGGUUUUGGAUGGACUCGCGGCCUAUCAGCUUGUUGGUGAGGUAAUGGCUCACCAAGGCGACGACGGGUAGCCGGCCUGAGAGGGUGACCGGCCACACUGGGACUGAGACACGGCCCAGACUCCUACGGGAGGCAGCAGUGGGGAAUAUUGCACAAUGGGCGCAAGCCUGAUGCAGCGACGCCGCGUGAGGGAUGACGGCCUUCGGGUUGUAAACCUCUUUCAGUAGGGAAGAAGCGAAAGUGACGGUACCUGCAGAAGAAGCGCCGGCUAACUACGUGCCAGCAGCCGCGGUAAUACGUAGGGCGCAAGCGUUAUCCGGAAUUAUUGGGCGUAAAGAGCUCGUAGGCGGUUUGUCGCGUCUGCCGUGAAAGUCCGGGGCUCAACUCCGGAUCUGCGGUGGGUACGGGCAGACUAGAGUGAUGUAGGGGAGACUGGAAUUCCUGGUGUAGCGGUGAAAUGCGCAGAUAUCAGGAGGAACACCGAUGGCGAA